AAUAUAUUAACGUUGUCGUUGAUCUACUAGUUAAUUUAUUGACGAAAAAUGGUAUGACCUACAUUUGCACACCUUGGUUGACAGUUGACAGACAAAAACAACAACAAUUGUGGCGCAGAAAAUUUCACCAUCCUGAAGCAUACUGUUCGGAAUUUGUUUUGAAGAAGAAGUCCUGUCCAGCCACAGAUUGGCCAAAUCAGGCCUAAGCAAGCUUCCGCCAUACUUAAGAAUUUGAUGUUCCGGACCGGGUUUGACGGAGCUCAAACGGGAAGAGGUUUCAGGGCGGCAGAUAUAGGCAGAAGAUUCACUUAGAUCAAUCGUUACCCUCCGGUGUGGCUCGAGGAGGAGGAGGAAUAGGUUAUGUCAACAGCUGGAAUGACUUUCCGGGUUCGUUCUCCAACGACGUGGAUCUACCAUGAUUAUGUUCAAUUUUCUCCUCUUGCGUGGUGGAAGAAGAUGGUAACCGUUCUCGGUGCUAUUUGUUUUCAUCCCGCCGCGCUAAAUGGUUUCAUUUGGCCACAUUUGGUGAUCGGAUUUGUUUUGAUCGGGUAUGGUGAAAUAUGAACGGGGGGAGAUUUCAAUGUCGUAGGCGAAAGGAAAUGAUUGUUCUUGACCAUCGUUGCUCUGUGAUGUGGUUUGAGGUAGAGGAGACGGAGGCUAAAUUACCGGUGGACAGGACUUUUGCAAGAUUUCCCAGUGGGUCAUAGCGACCAUGGACAUGGUUAAGUUUUUUUUUUUUUGGUGCGAGGUGGACGAAGACAAUUAAGGAUGUGCAAUUCCGGUUGCUCAGAUUGUUUAGGUUCUGCUCUCUAUAGAGCACAGGAAACACGGAAUAUUUUACUUUUUGGUCCUCGAGUACGGGUCUAGGUUGUCUAGGGUUUUACUUUUUCCCCCUUUGUGCUGUUGAAUGAUAUCUUGCCGGUGCCCUUCUGGUACACAGGAGUGGUUAGGUUCUGUCCUCCAAGUGUACUCCGGCUCUAAGUUUUCUAGUUUCCUAAAACAAAUGAUUAUUUUUAUUCUUUUGCGUUGUAACUUGACCAAUCCUGGUCGUCGGAACAAGGUCCGCGCUAAAGAUAAUCUGUCCAAUUCCGGCCGCUGCUAAAUUUUUCUGCAGAAUCUCCAUGAGAAUCUUCACCGCAAAAAUUGAUUUGCCAUGUUUUGACAUUUGAUUUGACAUUUCUAUAUGACAGUGGUGGUGGAUCAAGGAUGUACAUAACCAGGUGAGGUUGCGUUAAAGUAUUGACGAAAUAUAAAUAUAUCAACGAACUAUUGUUAGUCUAUCGACCAAGUUGUCCUGCCCCUAGGGCAAGGUUAAGUCUGUCCGACUAAUUGAAGAAAAUAGCAAAAUGUACUUCAAAGGAGGAAUUUAUCAUUGCAAACUUUGCGUAUUUAAAACGAUCUCCCGGGAAGCAUGCAGUGGCCACCUCUUCAAAGAAUGUUCCCUCAUGGUGGGAUGUGAUGUUUGCUCCAAAGUGUUUGCAGGAAAAAACUAUUUAAAGAGACAUCAAGAUCGAGUACUCUGCAAGCCGGUGCUGGCAAGUAAUGAAUGCAAAAAUUGCCUAUCAACAUUCACAAACAAUACGAAUCUACGUCAACAUAUGAAAAGAUCGGUUUGCAACAAAGUGGCAGCAAAACUACGUAAAGUAAAUCACGAAAUUGUUUCGAACACGAAGAAGUUUGACAUUUUCGGGUACAAGUGCAGUCUAGCAGAUUUCAUUGAUGUAAUCCCGUCGACGUCUUUGCUGAAUGACGUUAAACCUCGGCUGGAAAACUUCAUUAAUCAACCUCAAGUUUUAAUUAUAAACCAUUCUUCCAUCUUCCAGUUGACGUCAACAAAUUCAAGGAGUAAUGCAACUUGACAUUCAACUUCUGCCGCAGAAGAGCAUCGGCAAGCAGAUGGUCGCGUUCCACUGCGGCGUCCGACGGAGCGACUUCAAAGUUUAUUAGCAGUCGCGAGCCAAUUCUCAGCAGUUUGCGGCCGAUGAACGGCAGAACGGCAGCAUAUAUUGCCAUCUGUAUCAAACAGUCUCCAAACAGGACAAUGAAAGUGUUAGUGGUGUUUGAUUUUUAGAGAAUGUCAAAAUCGCCAUUAUCAAUACUAAGACCUGGAAAAAAAGAACAAACUUGCGGCCGAGUACAACCUCUGAGUGAAAGCGAUGGAGGUGAACGAACUACUCACGGGGCAGCAAACGAAUUCUACCGGAUUGGCCAUCAUCAAGCGAAAUUUGGAAAAUUGUGACUGCAGUGAUAGUGAAUAUUUGGAAAACAAAGUGCAAGGCCAGUGAAAACUAAUAGAUAUCAAUAAAAAUCAGCAAAA
rnacentral:lncRNA from 1 species